rnacentral:sRNA from 1 species
AAGAUUUUUGGAAGUGUCGGAAAUAAGAGAGCUGUCUCAAAAGGAGGCGGCUCUCUUUUCGUUUUUUCAGCCUUGCAGGGGGUAGUUGUUGAGCUGUUGAAUUGUUUGCUGACCACUGGAAAGCUGACUAACAUCGCGAUGCCGGAAACAACCUGCAAACCGAUGAAAAAAAGAAGAGACAGUAAAAAACAAAAUAUAUACACUUAAUACGAUAUGCCAUGAAAGAAAUGUUAGUCAGCAUUCAGCAUUCAGCCCCUUGCAUUUCCCCUUUUGAAGGGAUAACAUCCCCCUUUGCUUCACUCUUCCCCCCCUUUGAAGGGGGGGCUGGAGGGGGAUGUUCAUCGGCGUUCGGUCUAUUGUCAUUCAGAGCGAAGCGAAGAAUCUCCUUUCUUUUCCGGGGCGAGAUUCCUCACUGCGUUCGGAAUGACAAAGGCGGCAUCUAAAUCAAUAUUCACGUCAGGCUUACAGCCCUCCCAACGGGGAUAUUGCUUUUUCCCCAACGCUCCGCAUUGGGCUGAAUUAACACGCCCUUUCAGGGCUUUUACGGCGAUCAGCUAAACAUUCAACAACUCAACCCCUCAACCCUUUUCUUCUAUUGCGGAAUCAGGGGUUUAUGUAAGCUGUGGAGGAUG